rnacentral:ncRNA from 1 species
UGGUACGCGAGCUGGGUUUAGAACGUCGUGAGACAGUUCGGUCCCUAUCUGCCGUGGACGUUUGAGAUUUGAGAGGGGCUGCUCCUAGUACGAGAGGACCGGAGUGGACGAACCUCUGGUGUUCCGGUUGUCACGCCAGUGGCAUUGCCGGGUAGCUAUGUUCGGAAGAGAUAACCGCUGAAAGCAUCUAAGCGGGAAACUUGCCUCAAGAUGAGAUCUCACUGGGAUCUUGAAUCCCCUAAAGGGCCGUCGAAGACUACGACGUUGAUAGGUUGGGUGUGUAAGCGCUGUGAGGCGUUGAGCUAACCAAUACUAAUUGCCCGUGAGGCUUGACCAU